GAUGAACGCUGGCGGCGUGCCUAAUACAUGCAAGUCGAGCGAACAGACGAGGAGCUUGCUCCUCUGACGUUAGCGGCGGACGGGUGAGUAACACGUGGAUAACCUACCUAUAAGACUGGGAUAACUUCGGGAAACCGGAGCUAAUACCGGAUAAUAUAUUGAACCGCAUGGUUCAAUAGUGAAAGACGGUUUUGCUGUCACUUAUAGAUGGAUCCGCGCAGCAUUAGCUAGUUGGUAAGGUAACGGCUUACCAAGGCAACGAUGCGUAGCCGACCCGGGAGGGUGAUCGGCCACACUGGAACUGAGACACGGUCCAGACUCCUACGGGAGGCAGCAGUAGGGAAUCUUCCGCAAUGGGCGAAAGCCUGACGGAGCAACGCCGCGUGAGUGAUGAAGGUCUUCGGAUCGUAAAACUCUGUUAUUAGGGAAGAACAAAUGUGUAAGUAACUAUGCACGUCUUGACGGUACCUAAUCAGAAAGCCACGGCUAACUACGUG
rnacentral:rRNA from 1 species